GGAAGGGCUGGUAGAGCUACUUGAGCAGAUCUUUUAACUUUUGCUGCAGGAACAGCUGGAUUUGCCGGAAGAGCAGGAAGGGCUGGGAGAGCUAAUUGAGCAGAUCUUUUAACUUUCGGUGCAGGAACAGCUGGAUUAGCCGGAUUUGCUGGAUUUGCCGGAAGAGCAGGAAGGGCUGGGAGAGCUACUUGAGCAGAUCUUUUAACUUUCGCUGCAGGAACAGCUGGAUUUGCCGGAAGAGCAGGAAGGGUUGGUAGAGCUAUUUGAGCAGAUCUUUUAACUUUCGCUGCAGGUGUCGCCGGAGUUGCUGCGGUGGCUGGAGUUGCAGGCGUUGCUGCAGUGGCUGGAGUUGCAGC